rnacentral:rRNA from 1 species
GGCCUCACGCCAUUAGAUGUGCCCAGAUGAGAUUAGCUAGUAGGUAAGGUAAUAGCUUACCUAGGCGAUGAUCUCUAGCUGGUCUGAGAGGAUAACCAGCCACACUGGAACUGAGACACGGUCUAGACUCCUACGGGAGGCAGCAGUGGGGAAUAUUGCACAAUGGGCGCAAGCCUGAUGCAGCCAUGCCGCGUGUAUGAAGAAAGCCUUAGGGUUGUAAAGUACUUUCAGCGAGGAAGAAUGUUCUCUAGUUAAUAACUAUAGUACUUGACGUUACUCGCAGAAGAAGCACCGGCUAACUCCGUGCCAGCAGCCGCGGUAAUACGGAGGGUGCGAGCGUUAAUCGGAAUUACUGGGCUUAAAGCGUACGUAGGCGGCUUAUUAAGUCAGAUGUGAAAUCCCCGAGCUUAACUUGGGAAUUGCAUUUGAAACUGGUUAGCUAGAGUUUUGUAGAGGGGGGUAGAAUUCUAGGUGUAGCGGUGAAAUGCGUAGAUAUCUAGAGGAAUACCAGUGGCGAAGGCGGCCCCCUGGACAAAAACUGACGCUCAGGUACGAAAGCAUGGGGAGCAAACAGGAUUAG